AAGACCACCGGAAAAAUCCAAUUCCAAAAUUUCGAAGAAGAUGUCAAGUUUGAAGACUACUCAGCUGGUCGUGGCGCUGAGCUUAUGCUUACUUCUUCUGGGUUUCUCCUACUCUAUCGAGGCAGCUGCAAGACCAAUUACUGAUGUUGCAGAAGCAGCAGCAAAUCAACAAUGUCGGCCCGGAGAUUUUUGUGUUGAUGAUCAUGAUCCUGAGUGUUCUAAGUCAUGUCAACGAGAAGGUUUUCGUGGAGGCAAUUGUUUGUUUCCUGGUGCUUCAGCAAACCGUGAGGAGAAGAUUGAUAUUAACUAUUACAAAAUUGUAAGGUUUCCCCAUUGCUGUUGUUAUCAUUGAUGGAUCUCUAGUCUUGUCUUUGCAAUGUCCCAAAUAAAUAAUAUAGUUAAUAUUAAUAAAUGAUGGAUCCAUAAGUA